UACGGGGGGGGCAAGCGUUGUUCGGAAUUACUGGGCGUAAAGGGCGCGUAGGCGGCCAUGCGUGUCUUCCGUGAAAUCCCUCGGCUUAACUGAGGACGUGCGGAAGAAACUGCAAGGCUCGAGUCCGGGAGAGGGGGGUGGAAUUCCCAGUGUAGCGGUGAAAUGCGUAGAUAUUGGGAGGAACACCGGUGGCGAAGGCGGCCCCCUGGACCGGUACUGACGCUGAGGCGCGAAAGCGUGGGUAGCAAACAGG
rnacentral:rRNA from 1 species